rnacentral:rRNA from 1 species
AUUGAACGCUGGCGGCAUGCCUUACACAUGCAAGUCGAACGGCAGCACGGACUUCGGUCUGGUGGCGAGUGGCGAACGGGUGAGUAAUACAUCGGAACGUACCCAGUAGAGGGGGAUAACGCAGCGAAAGCUACGCUAAUACCGCAUACGCCCCAAGGGGGAAAGAGGGGGAUCUUAGGACCUCUUGCUAUUGGAGCGGCCGAUGGCUGAUUAGCUAGUUGGUGGGGUAAGGGCCUACCAAGGCAACGAUCAGUAGCUGGUCUGAGAGGACGAUCAGCCACACUGGAACUGAGACACGGUCCAG